UACGUAGGAGGCAAGCGUUGUCCGGAAUUACUGGGCGUAAAGCGCGCGCAGGCGGCCCGCGAGGUGUCACGUGAAAGCCCCGGGCUCAACCCGGGAGGGUCGUGGCAAACCGGCGGGCUUGAGGCCGGUAGAGGUGGGUGGAACUCCUGGUGGAGUGGUGAAAUGCGUAGAGAUCAGGAAGAACACCCGUGGCGAAGGCGGCCCACUGGGCCGGUACUGACGCUGAGGCGCGAAGGCGUGGGGAGCGAACGGG
rnacentral:rRNA from 1 species